UACGUAGGGUGCGAGGCGUUGUCCGGAUUUAUUGGGCGUAAAGAGCUCGUAGGCGGUUUGUCGCGUCGGCCGUGAAAUCUCCACGCUUAACGUGGAGCGUGCGGUCGAUACGGGCAGACUUGAGUUCGGUAGGGGGAGACUGGAAUUCCUGGUGUAGCGGUGAAAUGCGCAGAUAUCAGGAGGAACACCGAUUGCGAAAGGCAGGCUCGCUGGGGACGUUACUGACGCUGAGGACGCGAAAGCGUGGGGAGCAAACAGG
rnacentral:rRNA from 1 species